AACGAACGCUGGCGGCAUGCCUAACACAUGCAAGUCGAACGAGACCUUCGGGUCUAGUGGCGCACGGGUGCGUAACGCGUGGGAACCUGCCCUUAGGUUCGGAAUAACUCCCCGAAAGGGGUGCUAAUACCGGAUAAUGUCUUCGGACCAAAGAUUUAUCGCCUUUGGAUGGGCCCGCGUUGGAUUAGCUAGUUGGUAGGGUAAAAGCCUACCAAGGCGACGAUCCAUAGCUGGUCUGAGAGGAUGAUCAGCCACACUGGGACUGAGACACGGCCCAGACUCCUACGGGAGGCAGCAGUGGGGAAUAUUGGACAAUGGGCGAAAGCCUGAUCCAGCAAUGCCGCGUGAGUGAUGAAGACCUUAGGGUUGUAAAGCUCUUUUACCCGGGAUGAUAAUGACAGUACCGGGAGAAUAAGCGCCGGCUAACUCCGUG
rnacentral:rRNA from 1 species